rnacentral:ncRNA from 1 species
AUUCGCAUUAUUUAUUUUUAUAUAUCUUGGUUAUUAUGAUUUAGUAAUGAUUUUUAGCAUCGGUUAAGUUUGUGCCAGCAGCCGCGGUUAUACAUUAGAUGCUAUUGAAUAUUUUCGGUUUGGCAGUUUUAUUUUUGUUUGUGGCAUUAAUUGGUUUUUUUAUUUGGGUGGAAUCAUUAUUUUUGGUUAGGUGUCUUUUUGGUUUUUGUAGGCUGUGAAAUCUUUACUUUAAACUAGGAUUAGAUACCCUAUUAUUUUUGAUGUUAAUUUUUGUUGCCUGGGUAGUAUUAGUUAUGCUCUUGAAACCCAAAGAAUUUGGCGGUAUUUUAUUCCCCUCAGAGGAAUCUGCCCCGUGAUCGAUGAUCCGCGUUGGACCUUACUUGAUUUAUUUGUUUGUAUACCGCCGUUGUGGUGAGGAUCAUUUUUAGUGUUUUAAUUUUCUUUUUUCAUUAUUUUGAUUUAUUUCAGGUCAAGGUGCAGCUUUUAUUCAAGUGUGGAGGUGGAUUACAUUUGGUUGUUGAUAUUGAAUUAUUGGUUGUUAUUUACCGGUAUGAAAGUGGAUUUGAUUGUAAUUUGUUGAAGAUUGUUCUAAUGAUAGUGGUUUUAGAAUAUGUACACAUCGCCCGUCGCUCUCAUUUUUGUUGAGAUAAGUCGUAACAAAGUAGUCGUACCGGAAGGUGUGGCUGGAAUGAU